rnacentral:rRNA from 1 species
CCUACGGGAGGCAGCAGUAGGGAAUCUUCCACAAUGGGCGAAAGCCUGAUGGAGCAACGCCGCGUGGGUGAAGAAGGUCUUCGGAUCGUAAAACCCUGUUGUUAGAGAAGAAAGUGCGUGAGAGUAACUGUUCACGUUUCGACGGUAUCUAACCAGAAAGCCACGGCUAACUACGUGCCAGCAGCCGCGGUAAUACGUAGGUGGCAAGCGUUAUCCGGAUUUAUUGGGCGUAAAGGGAACGCAGGCGGUCUUUUAAGUCUGAUGUGAAAGCCUUCGGCUUAACCGGAGUAGUGCAUUGGAAACUGGGAGACUUGAGUGCAGAAGAGGAGGGUGGAAGUCCAUGUGUAGCGGUGAAAUGCGUAGAUAUAUGGAAGAACACCAGUGGCGAAAGCGGCUCACUGGUCUGUAACUGACGCUGAGGUUCGAAAGCGUGGGUAGCAAACAGGAUUAGAUACCCUUGUAGUC